rnacentral:snRNA from 1 species
GUGCUCACUUUGGCAGCACAUAUGCUAAAAUUGGAAUGAUAGAAGAUUAGCAUGGCCCCUGCACAAGGAUAACAUGCAAAUUCAUGAAGCAUUUCAUAUUCUU